UUAAAUGGGAGAGGGGUUGGCUACUCCUUUGUGAUUUUCUUUUCUUUGUUCUUUCUCUCUUUUCUUUUGCUCAAAAUUUUGUUUUUUCCCAAAAGUGGCUGCCCUCAUUCCCACGUAUUUUUCUUUCUUUCUUUCUUUAUUCUGGAUAAGUUGGUGAGUUGUCAUUUGGGUGGUUACUUACGUGGGGGGUUGGCUACUCGUUUGUGAUUUUUUUGUUUCUUCUUUCUCUCUUUUCUUUUGCUUAAAACCAAAUUCAAGUGUUAUCACUUGUUUCAAUCAUUAUUGAUGUCUCGCUCAUAAUCUAUUUUGUUGCCAAUUUCUAGUUUGUGGUUUGAUUUGGUAAGUAAUUGGAGUAAGUCUACUAUAUUUUUUGGUUGGUGAAUAAUUUGGGGGCUUUCUUUAUUCUUGUAAUGAAAAUAUUUUUUAUGGCGUUAUUCGUCUUAAUGCUCAAAUAGGGGAAAAUCAAGAGGCUCGAGAUUAUCCUUCAACGACUUAAUUGUGUUAGGAACUGCUAUGGACGUUGGGUAAGUAUUCAAACGUUGAUGAGUUUAAUUCUAGUGUCGGAAUUGUGUAAUUGUAGGUUGUGGUCGAGUAAGUUAUUUGGCUUCUAUUGAUACAAACUCUACUAUCCGCAAGAAUAAUGGAAACGUCAAAUGAGCAAUAAAUCUGAAAACAUAUGAUAAGUCUGUGGUUCGUAUAUGUUAUGUUGUGCAUGUAAAGCUAUAUCAUGUUUAAUUUCUGCUCUAAAUAUGUAUGAUAUUUUUUGCACUCUUUAUCUGCAUCUGGGUUGGGUUGUAAAUAACAUGUGGAGAAAGUGAUUCUGUAAAAGGCGAUAUUGUCUAUUGAUUUGGUAGCUCAGCAACAACUAUUCUAUUGAUUUGGUAGAUCUUUCUUAUAUGUAUUUUACUGUGUUAAGUUUAUCAUUAUACACUGAGUUUCAAAACUCACUUUCUAUUUUAUUAAUAUUUUCAUGUAAUCCUUAAACUUAGGCACGAGAGCUCGAUUAUAUUAGUAUUUCAAUUCUUUAACCAUUUUAAAUUGGAUUCAGUAUUUUGUAAAAUUAGGACAGUUUGGACAAUUUGGCUCGGUUUUGGAUUUAAUUUUGGAUUUUUGUAUGAUAAUUGAUAAAACGAUUUACCAAAAAUGAAUAGUUUCUUGCAACCAACUAUUUUCGAGAAAACAAACUUGGUUUUUCAAAAUAUAAUGAUCUAAGAAUUUUCGCUGCAAAGUAUUCGAUUUAUUUAGAAAAGGUAAACAAAAAAUGUUUUUAAUUAAAUAAUUAUGUCAAACACGUGUUUUGUUCACGAUGUUUUUCAAAUAAAUGAAAGCCAGAUUUACAACUAUUAUACAUAUCAUCUCUAGAUCUAGCCAUAAUGUCCAGGCUGAGUUUGAGGUGUUACAUAGUUAUAAGUAUUUUAUAAAAAAAUAGUAAACAAAAAUAUAUUAUUAAUUAAAUUUAAUUAAUUAAAUAGAUAAAAACAUGUGAAAUAAAAAAAAACUAGUUUAUUUAUAAUUUAUAUAAAAGAAAAGAGUGGAUAAACUUUUAAACUAACAUAAAUACACCAUAUUUAUUGUUUAUUAUAGGCUUUAGGGUGUAAAAAACUCUCAAAUUUUUUUUUUAAAAAAGAGUAAUUAAGUCCCUAUUUUUUUUUGCACUCAAUUGGGUACUUGAACUUUCAAAAUGUAUAAAAAAACUCUCAAAUUUUUUUUUAAAAAAAUUAAGCUCCUGCUUUUGUUUUGUAGUCAAUUGGGUAUAUGAACUUUCAAAAUAUAUAAAAAUACCCUCAAAUUUUUUUCAAAAAAAAAUAUCAACCCCCUAUCUGUUUUUUUUUUUGCUCUUAAUUGAGUACUUGAAUUUUCAAAAUGCAUCAAGAAGGUCAUUUGAUCGUUAACUUUAACAGUUGACCAUUAAAGUUAACCACUCUUAAUUUUUUCCAGUUAAAGCCACCAUGUGUCACAACAACCGAAUGACAUGUGGCAAAAAACGAUAAAAAAUAAAAACCAAUAGAAAUUAUAAAAAUUAUUAAUUUUAAUAAAAACAAUAAAAAUGUUUAAAAUUUAUUAAAAAUUUAAAAGAUUAUAAAAAUCAUAAAAAAAUUAUAAAAAAAAUGUAAAAUUUUAUAAAAAUAGUAAGAAAUGUAAAAUAUAUAGAAAAUAGAAAAAAAAUUAUAAAAUUUUAUAAAGUCAUAAGAAAAUUAUAAACAAUGUAAAGAAAUAUAAAAUUUGUAAAAAUAUAAAAAUUAUCGUAGCAAAAGAAGCAUUUUAUAAUUUUUCUACAACUUUUAUUGAAUUUUAUUUUUAUCAUUUUUUGCCACAUGUCACGCUGUGUUGCGAUAUGUGAUGGCUUUAAUUGAAAAAAAUCGAGUAUCGUUAACUUUAACGAUCAUCGGUUAAACUUAAUGGUUAAAGGGCAUUUUUGAUGUAUUUUAUAAAUUUUUUUAUGAUUUUUAUAAAAAUUUACAAUUCUUUUAUAUUUUUAUUAAAAUUUGAUAAAUUUUAUCUUUUAUUGGUUUUUAUUUUUAUCAUUUUUUUGCCACAUGUAAUGUUGUGGCUGUGACACGAGGUGGCUUUUACUGAAAAAAUUAGGGACAGUUACCUUUAACGAUAAAUCUUGAGAUUAAUUGAUUGUUCAAGUAUUCAAUUGAGUGAAGAAAAGAGCAAAUGAUUAAUUGCUUAUUUUGAAAAAAUUUAAGGGCCUUUUUGAUGUACCUUGAAAGUUUAAAUACAAAAUUGAGUGAAAAAAAAACUUAAUUAUUUAUAUGUUUGAGGACUUUUUAUCUUUUGAUUAUAUUACUACAUAACCAUUUAAUUAAUUAUUAUUAGUAAAACAACAUUUAAUUAGAUCUAUAUAUUCUAAAAUUAACUCAAAUUUAUAUUCUAAAAUAUUUAUAUCCAAACUCAAAUUACCCCAAACACAAAUAGUAUACACAUUAUUACCCGAAAUAAAACCACUAACAGAGUUCAACAUGGUUAUUUCAAUGCACAAUAAGGAACGGGGAUUAAGAACAAAUCAUCUUUUCUUCUUGCAGUUAAGCCAAAUGAUUCAGUCAUUUCCAGAUCUUCAAACUUCAUCCCAUUUGGGAGCUUCCAAUCAAAAUGGUACAGCAAACUCGCAAGUGGUAACUCAAUACCGUGUAUCCCGAACAAAAUACCAGGACAAAUUCUUCUUCCAGCACCAAAUGGGAUAUACUCAAAGUUUUUUCCUCUAAAAUCCAUGGAGUUUUCCGAGAAUCUUUCAGGGUAAAACUCCUCAGCAUCUUUCCAGUAAAAGGGAUCUCUUUGUAUAGCCCAUGCAUUUACAAGGACUUUAGCUUUGGCAGCGAUCUCAUAUCCAUUUAUCACACAAUUUUCACGAGAUUGCCUUAGAAUUAAAAGCGCAGGAGGGUGCAACCUCAAAGUUUCUUUCACUAUUAAUCUUAAGAAUUUCAGCUCCUGAAUCUUUUCUUCGUUUAAUGAGGUAAUGUUUUCCCCGAAGACUCUUCUUACUUCAUUUUGUGCCUUUUUCAUCAGUUUUGGAUUUUUCAAUAGUUCAGACAUCGCCCAUUCUACUGUUGUGGCUGAUGUCUCGCUCCCAGCAGCAAAUAUGUCCUGAAAAGAUAUAUUUAACACAAAUAUUAUCAGGGGCAUGUCAAAUAGUUUAACAAUACAAUACACCAGUGGCAAAGUUAAAAUUAACAGUAACCUUCAUGACAGCUUUUAUGCUGUUAUUUCCCAAAGGGAAUUCAAGGUCAUCUUGCUGUUGAAGCUGAAGGAGAACAUCAAUCAAAUCAGCUUCAACCCCUUGAUGAUCUGCCUUGUUUCUCUUCUCUUUAUGUUCAUUAACAAUGUUUUCAAGGAUCUUAUCCGAAGCCUGGUGUAGUUUCUCCGCUUUAAUCCUGGUUCCACUAAUCAGUUUCAGCACUCCACUAGAAGGAUACAUAUCAGCUAAACAGAUAGCACCUGAGAGCUUAUUAGUUUCUUUGACGAUCCUUAUAAAUUCCUCUUGGCUUUUUGUUUUCUUCCCAAAGGUAGCCCUCGCUGUUAUCCCAUAUGACAGUGAAAAAAUUUUCUCACUAAGAUUGAUCGCAGACCCUUCACUCAAAGCUAUGGAUUUGAUGAAAUCUGUCACCUCUUCUGUUCUGAUUGACUGGAAUGAUUGGACUCGGGUCGGGCUCAAAAGUUCCAUGGUGCAGAUUUUUCUCAUUUGUUUCCAAUAGUUACCAUACGGUGUAAAUACGAUUGCUUUACAGUUGUAUGACAUAACCUCACAAGCUAGAACAUGAGGCCUUUGAGAAAAGAUGGUAUCAUGAGUUUUAAAAACCUGUUCGGCAACUCUUGCAGAUGAGAUUACAACGGUGGGAACUUCUCCGAGCUGAAGCUGCAUCAAAGCUCCGUAUUUGUUGGAUAAAUCUCUUAGGGUGUGAUGGGGAAAAGAAGUAAAGAGUUGAUGCAAGUUACCUAUGAGAGGUAAUUUCCAUGGACCUGGGGGAAGCUUAUUGAGGUUGGGUUUCUUGGCUUUUGAUGAUAUUUUCAGGAUUCUUACAAUGGUGAAGAAGAAAAUUAGGAAAGUAAUGAGGGGAACACAUGGAAAUUGAAACUCCAUGGAGAAGAAAAGAUGUGAGUUUUGG
rnacentral:lncRNA from 1 species